AGAGUUUGAUCCUGGCUCAGAAUGAACGUUGGCGGCGUGGAUUAGGCAUGCAAGUCGUGCGAGAAGGGUUUGGUGCUUGCAUUGGACCCGGAAAGCGGCGAAAGGGAGAGUAACGCGUGGGUUACCAACCCCCAGGCCCGGGAUAGCGGCGGGAAACUGCCGGUAAUACCGGAUAAUGUCCCCGGACCAAAGGUGUGAUUCCGCCUGGGGACGGACCCGCGUCCUAUUAGCUUGUUGGUGGGGUAACGGCCUACCGAGGCGAAGAUGGGUAGCGGGCGUGAGAGCGUGGCCCGUCUCACUGGGACUGAGACACUGCCCAGACACCUACGGGUGGCUGCAGUCGAGAAUCUUCGGCAAUGGACGCAAGUCUGACCGAGCGACGCCGCGUGCGGGAUGAAGGCCUUCGGGUUGUAAACCGCUGUCAGUGGGGUGGAAGUGCAUGGGGGUCCUCCCCUGUGUUUGACCUAACCGCAGAGGAAGUCCGGGCUAAGUUCGUGCCAGCAGCCGCGGUAAUACGAACCGGACGAACGUUAUUCGGAAUCACUGGGCUUAAAGAGUGCGUAGGCGGCCUGGAAAGUUGGGUGUGAAAGCCCACGGCUCAACCGUGGAAUUGCGCUCAAAACUGCCAGGCUUGAGGGAGACAGGGGUGAGCGGAACUGAUGGUGGAGCGGUGAAAUGCGUUGAUAUCAUCAGGAACACCGGUGGCGAAGGCGGCUCACUGGGUCUCUUCUGACGCUGAGGCACGAAAGCUAGGGGAGCGAACGGGAUUAGAUACCCCGGUAGUCCUAGCUGUAAACGAUGAGCACUAGUUCGAGGGGACUUCCACAUCCUCUCGGACGUAGCGAAAGUGUUAAGUGCUCCGCCUGGGGAGUAUGGUCGCAAGGCAA
rnacentral:rRNA from 1 species